rnacentral:rRNA from 1 species
GUGCCAGCCGCCGCGGUAAUACGGAGGGGGCUAGCGUUGUUCGGAAUUACUGGGCGUAAAGCGCACGUAGGCGGCUUUGUAAGUUAGAGGUGAAAGCCCGGGGCUCAACUCCGGAAUUGCCUUUAAGACUGCAUCGCUAGAAUUGUGGAGAGGUAAGUGGAAUUCCGAGUGUAGAGGUGAAAUUCGUAGAUAUUCGGAAGAACACCAGUGGCGAAGGCGACUUACUGGACACAUAUUGACGCUGAGGUGCGAAAGCGUGGGGAGCAAACAGGAUUAGAUACCCCCGUAGUCC